GGGGAAUCUUGCACAAUGGGGGCAACCCUGAUGCAGCGACGCCGCGUGAGCGAUGAAGCCCUUCGGGGCGUAAAGCUCUUUCGACCGGAACGAUAAUGACGGUACCGGGAGAAGAAGCUGCGGCUAACUACGUGCCAGCAGCCGCGGUAAUACGUAGGCAGCAAGCGUUGUUCGGAGUUACUGGGCGUAAAGAGUGCGUAGGCGGUUUUCUAAGUUCGGUGUGAAAUCUCCCGGCUUAACUGGGAGGGUGCGCCGAAGACUGGGAAGCUGGAGUGUGGGAAAGGCAGGCGGAAUUCCUGGUGUAGCGGUGAAAUGCGUAGAUAUCAGGAGGAACACCGGCGGUGUAGACGGCUUGCUAGACGAUAACUGACGCUGAGGCACGAAAGCGUGGGUAGCAAACA
rnacentral:rRNA from 1 species